GUUUUAUAUUAUGACAAAUUUAAACUCUGAAUUCUUCAAGAAUUACACAAAUUGAAUGCAUAUGGAUGAUCAUAAUCAUGCACCAUUGUUGACCAUUUCAAAAGUAUGUUUUUGAAGGUUAGUCAUGAUGGGACAUGUCAAUAUCAUGUUGGAAUCGUGUUGACAUGAUCUUGAAUGCAAUCAUUGUUAAGGCAAGCCAAAACCCUCUUGGUUAUUAA
rnacentral:misc_RNA from 1 species